GGGAUACAGAUCUCCAGUCUCUGGAGAAGGCUAGCAACCUGGUGGGCAUACAGCUCUGGAUUGCCCUGACAAAGGAGGGAUUUCAUGCUGGAUGUCCCAUUGGCUGGGUAAGUAGCAAGAGCUAUAAGUGCCUAAAUCCCUUCCCAGUCCUUUGGAGUCUGCCCUGUGUCACUCUUAGAGAUAAGUAGCAAGACAGCCAUCCUGUGAAUGCCAAGUCUCUGAGGCAAUAACCAUACGCCUCCAUGCACAGAUACUCCUCUCCCCACUGCAGCAUGUCAAUAGUCUAUUGCUAAGGAAUCCUG
rnacentral:lncRNA from 1 species